rnacentral:rRNA from 1 species
CCUACGGGUGGCAGCAGUGGGGAAUAUUGGACAAUGGGGGCAACCCUGAUCCAGCCAUGCCGCGUGUGUGAAGAAGGCCCUCGGGUUGUAAAGCACUUUCAGUGAGGAAGAACGCCUGGUGGUUAAUACCCAUCAGGAAAGACAUCACUCACAGAAGAAGCACCGGCUAACUCCGUGCCAGCAGCCGCGGUAAUACGGAGGGUGCGAGCGUUAAUCGGAAUUACUGGGCGUAAAGCGCGCGUAGGUGGCUUGAUAAGCCGGUUGUGAAAGCCCCGGGCUCAACCUGGGAACGGCAUCCGGAACUGUCAAGCUAGAGUGCAGGAGAGGAAGGUAGAAUUCCCGGUGUAGCGGUGAAAUGCGUAGAGAACGGGAGGAAUACCAGUGGCGAAGGAGGCCUUCUGGACUGACACUGACACUGAGGUGCGAAAGCGUGGGUAGCAAACAGGAUUAGAUACCCUAGUAGUC